AUCCUUCAGUUCAUGAGUGUGAUGAUUGGGUGUUCACACUAUUGUGUGAGCUGUGCCUCCCUCUAAACCUUGUUACAACUUCAGCACUUACACAUCUGAUG
rnacentral:snoRNA from 1 species